rnacentral:rRNA from 1 species
CCAAUAGCGUAUAUUUAAGUUGCUGCGGUUAAAAAGCUCGUAGUCGGAUUUCGGGUGGCGCCUACCGGUCCGCCUUUGGUGAGUACUGGUAGGUGCCACCUUUCUGCCGAGGACGGGGUACUGGGCUUAGUUGUCUGGGCCCCGGAGUCGGCGAUGUCACUUUGAGUAAAUUAGGGUGUUCAAAGCAGGCUUAUGCUCUGUAUACGCUAGCAUGGGAUGACACGAUAGGACUUCGGUUUAUCUUGUCGGUCUGUGGAUCGGAGUAAUGAUUAAGAGGGACAGUCGGGGGCAUUCGUAUUUCGUAGUCAGAGGUGAAAUUCUUGGAUUUACGGAAGACGAACUUCUGCGAAAGCAUUUGCCAAGGAUGUUUUCAUUGAUCAAGAACGAAAGUCGGGGGCUCGAAGACGAUUAGAUACCGUCGUAGUCUCGACCAUAAACGAUGCCGACUAGGGAUCGGAGGUGGUUUUUUUAUGACCUCUCCGGCACCUUACGAGAAAUCAAAGUUUCUGGGUUCCGGGGGGAGUAUGGUCGCAAGGCUGAAACUUAAAGGAAUUGACGGAAGGGCACCACCAGGCGUGGAGCCUGCGGCUUAAUUUGACUCAACACGGGGAAACUUACCAGGUCCAGACAUGGGUAGGAUUGACAGANUGAUAGCUCUUUCUUGAUUCUAUGGGUGGUG